GAUGAACGCUAGCGGGAGGCCUAACACAUGCAAGCCGAGCGGUAUUGUUUCUUCGGAAAUGAGAGAGCGGCGUACGGGUGCGGAACACGUGUGUAACCUGCCUUUAUCUGGGGGAUAGCCUUUCGAAAGGAAGAUUAAUACUCCAUAAUAUAUUGAUUGGCAUCAAUUAAUAUUGAAAGCUCCGGCGGAUAGAGAUGGGCACGCGCAAGAUUAGCUAGUUGGGGAGGUAACGGCUCACCAAGGCGAGGAUCUUUAGGGGGCCUGAGAGGGUGAUCCCCCACACUGGUACUGAGACACGGACCAGACUCCUACGGGAGGCAGCAGUGAGGAAUAUUGGUCAAUGGGUGCAAGCCUGAACCAGCCAUCCCGCGUGAAGGACGACUGCCCUAUGGGUUGUAAACUUCUUUUGUAUAGGGAUAAACCUACCCUCGUGAGGGUAGCUGAAGGUACUAUACGAAUAAGCACCGGCUAACUCCGUGCCAGCCGCCGCGGUAAAAC
rnacentral:rRNA from 1 species